CGACCCCUUCCGUGUCGAAGCUAACGCGUUAAACGCGCCGCCUGGGGAAUACGAUCGCAAGAUUAAAACUCAAAGAAAUUGACGGGGGCCCGCACAAGCGGUGGAGUAUGUGGCUUAAUUCGAUGCAACGCGAAGAACCUUACCUGGGCUUGACAUGCAUCUCUAAACCAGUGAAAACUGGUGAGCCUCGCAAGAGGUAAUUUGCACAGGUGCUGCAUGGCUGUCGUCAGCUCGUGUCGUGAGAUGUUGGGUUAAGUCCCGCAACGAGCGCAACCCUUGUGACCUGUUGCUUCCGGACCUUUCGGUCCGAGCACUCUGGUCAGACUGCCCUGUGAAACGGGGAGGAAGGUGGGGAUGACGUCAAGUCAGCAUGGCCCUUACGCCCAGGGCUGCACACGUACUACAAUGCCCAGCACAGAACGAGCCGAAGCCGCAAGGCAGGGGAAAUCAACAAAACUGGGCCCAGUUCGGAUCGCAGGCUGCAACUCGCCUGCGUGAAGCCGGAAUCGCUAGUAAUGGCGCAUCAGCUACGGCGCCCGUGAAUACUUCCCGGGCCUUGUACACACCGCCCGUCACAUCAUGGAAGUCAGUCGUACCCGAAGCUCGUUAGCCAACCGCAAGGCGGCAGCGCUAUAAGGUAAACUGGUAACUGGGAUG
rnacentral:rRNA from 1 species